rnacentral:rRNA from 1 species
UACGUAGGGUGCGAGCGUUAAUCGGAAUACUGGGCGUAAAGCGUACGCAGGCGGUGAUGUAAGACAGUUGUGAAAUCCCCGGGCUCAACCUGGGAACUGCAUCUGUGACUGCAUCGCUGGAGUGCGGCAGAGGGGGAUGGAAUUCCGCGUGUAGCAGUGAAAUGCGUAGAUAUGCGGAGGAACACCGAUGGCGAAGGCAAUCCCCUGGGCCUGCACUGACGCUCAUGCACGAAAGCGUGGGGAGCAAACAGGAU